rnacentral:rRNA from 1 species
GAACCGGGAGAACUGAAACAUCUAAGUACCCCGAGGAAAAGAAAUCAACCGAGAUUCCCUCAGUAGCGGCGAGCGAACGGGGAUUAGCCCUUAAGCAUCUUGGAAGUUAGUGGAACGGUCCUGGAAAGGCCGGCGAUACAGGGUGAUAGCCCCGUACACGAAAACAACCUUGAUGUGAAAUCGAGUAGGGCGGGACACGUGACAUCCUGUCUGAAUAUGGGGGGACCAUCCUCCAAGGCUAAAUACUCCUGACUGACCGAUAGUGAACCAGUACCGUGAGGGAAAGGCGAAAAGAACCCCUGUGAGGGGAGUGAAAUAGAACCUGAAACCGUGUACGUACAAGCAGUGGGAGCCCUUCGGGGUGACUGCGUACCUUUUGUAUAAUGGGUCAGCGACUUACAUUUUGUAGCGAGGUUAACCGUAUAGGGGAGCCGUAGGGAAACCGAGUCUUAACUGGGCGUCUAGUUGCAAGGUGUAGACCCGAAACCGGGUGAUCUAGCCAUGGGCAGGUUGAAGGUUGAGUAACAUCAACUGGAGGACCGAACCCACUAACGUUGCAAAGUUAGGGGAUGACCUGUGGCUGGGGGUGAAAGGCCAAUCAAACUCGGAGAUAGCUGGUUCUCCCCGAAAGCUAUUUAGGUAGCGCCUCGGACGAAUACUAC